CAGUAGCCGCGGGAAUACGAAGGGGGCUAGCGUUGUUCGGAAUUACUGGGCGUAAAGCGCACGUAGGCGGAUAUUUAAGUCAGGGGCGAAAUCCCAGAGCUCAACUCUGGAACUGCCUUUGAUACUGGGUAUCUUGAGUAUGGAAGAGGUGAGUGGAAUUCCGAGUGUAGAGGUGAAAUUCGUAGAUAUUCGGAGGAACACCAGUGGCGAAGGCGGCUCACUGGUCCAUUACUGACGCUGAGGUGCGAAAGCGUGGGGAGCAAACAGGAUUAGAGACCCCCGUAGUCCCUGUCUCUUAUAC
rnacentral:rRNA from 1 species